UGACAGUUACAAACCAUGAUAUCAAUACAGUCCUGCACAUUUGUGUAAAGAAAAUAUAAGUUAUCCAAAAAGAGGUUAACUGAACAAAUAAGAACACCAAAACCAUUACCAAAGAGGAGACCGGUUUCGCCAGGCCUCAAAAGAGCAGAGCCAAGAUUCAAUAUCCAAAGCAUGGCUUGAGAAAUUCAACACGUGGAAAAAGAUGACAGGACUGAAAAAGCAAACGAAAAGAACAAAAAUAUAACAAAAGAGUGUCAAACAUAGGAAAAAUCAGAGGCUCAGCUUUGCCUAUUUUCAUACAUUGACGGUCUAACAGGCAGCACUUGGUUGCCUGCAAAAAAUAGCAAGCCAUCCAAAUUUGUGGCACCAGUUAGACUUAGGCAAAAUAGUAGUCAGCAUGCAAGAUGUGCAUGGCUACUUCAACAUAUGUGGAUUGACACACACAAACACACAUAUGUAUUUAUGUGUGUAUGUAUGUCCAUAUAUAUGUAUGUAUGUGUAUAUGUAUAUAUAAAUAGAGAGAGAGAGCCUUUGUAUCUAGGUGCUCUUGCAGAUGCAAGCAUACAAUUUCAGCACUUGAAGUAUCUUCAUGGAGAUACCAAGGCAAAUCAUCACAGCCUCUAACCGCAGAUAAGAAAAGGAAGCAGCAAAAAUGAAUGAAUAAAGCAGCAGAAGGAAAGAAAUGUGAUACUGAAAUAUUGGGAGAACCACUGGCUGAAAUAUUGGGGCAAUCCUUCUUAACAAAAAGGAUAUAGCAAAUUACAUACCAUAACAAGCCUUGCCAGAAUAAAGGAUGUUUGAAAAUAUUCAUAUCCUUAACAAAACAACAUGGUAUCGACUCUGGCAACACUGACAGUUACAAACCAUGAUAUCAAUACAGUCCAGAACAUUUGUGUAAAGAAAAUAUAAGGGUGUGUUUGGUUAUACUUUUUGACUUUUUAAAAGUACUUUUCAUUUUUUUUAUUUUUGCUAUUGAGUAAAAGCAACAAAGUAAAAAGUAUGUUUGGUAACUACGUUGCUAUAAAGCAAAAAGCAAUGGGAACGGCAGAUGAAGAGCUCGACGAGAGAGAAAGAUUCGAGAAGAGAAGGAGAAGGGGAUAGGGAGGUGAAAAGCUCGAUGAGGGAGAAGGAUUUGGGCUCUUAACUUUUUGGUUUGGCGUUUUAGAUAUGUGAAAGCAAAAAAAAGCAGAAAAGUAAGUUUUUGAAAGCAAAAAAUUUUUGCUUUGCAUAUAAAGCAAUUAUUUUGAUUUUUUUAUUUUUGCUUUUUACUUUUCAUGGUGUUACCAAACGUUGCUUUUUAAUUUUUACUUUUUAAAAAUCAAAAAGUAAAAAAAGUACUUUCUUAAUGGCUAACCAAACGCACCCUAAGUUAUCCAAAAAGAGGUUAACUGAACAAAUAAGAACACCAAAACCAUUACCAAAGAGGAGACUGGUUUCUCCAGGCCUCAAAAGAACAGAGCCAAGAUUCAAUAUCCAAAGCAUGGCUUGAGAAAUUCAACACAUGGAAAAAGAUG
rnacentral:lncRNA from 1 species